CCUCCCCAGCACAGAGCACUGAUGGAGCCUCUCUGAUUCUCUAGGGAAAUCCUGGCCUCCCUGGGAACCCUGGGCCUAGAGGAGCAGUCGGUGAUCCAGGACCUCCUGGGCCCAUUGGACCUCCAGGGCCAUCAGGACCUGCCGGAGAGUUUGUCAAGGGGGCGAAAGGCGAGCGAGGGGAGCGGGGCCCCCCCAGGCUGAUUGAUGGGGUACCUCCCAGAGGAGAGCCAGGCAUCCCGGGCUUGCCUGGUGAUCCUGGUUCCCCUGGGCCCCGGGGACCUGCUGGGCCCCCAGGACAGAAAGGAGACAAGGGUGAUGGAGAAGAAGGUUUUCCAGGGCCGCCGGGUCGCCCAGGGGACCCAGGAGAUCGGGGCCCGAGAGGACCUCCAGGUGAACAAGGAAGCAAGGGAGAUCGCGGGCAGCCGGGAGAACUCGGAGAAGCAGGGGAGAAGGGUGAUCGCGGACCCCCUGGGCCGGAAGGGAAGAAGGGGGAGCUGGGAGCUCCAGGCCGCCUGGGCCCAGCAGGCAGAGAGGGAUUGCCAGGACCGUCCGGCCCCCGAGGGGAAAAGGUAGGGACCCUUCGGAAUGGCUUGUAUCCAUUCUGCUUGCUGGGCCCCUCAGCUAGCUCUUGGGGUGAGCAGAGCAUUUGUGGGGCAUCCAUGAAGUGAGAGAUGACAGCGCCCGUCCCUGAGCUGCGCUGAUUUUCCACCCAUGUCCCUGACAUUGCUUCUAACAUGGAGAGUUCUCUUCCUCCACGUGUCUUCUCUGAGCCUGCGCACCCCUAGUGUUGCCUUCGUCAAUGUCCCUUCCACAGGUCUGGG
rnacentral:lncRNA from 1 species